CCUACGGGUGGCAGCAGUGAGGAAUAUUGGUCAAUGGUCGGGAGACUGAACCAGCCAAGCCGCGUGAGGGAGGAAGGUACAGAGUAUCGUAAACCUCUUUUGUCAGGGAACAAAGACUGGGACGCGUCCCCGGAUGCGUGUACCUGAAGAAAAAGCAUCGGCUAACUCCGUGCCAGCAGCCGCGGUAAUACGGAGGAUGCGAGCGUUAUCCGGCUUUACUGGGUGUAAGGGGCGUGUAGGCGGGCAUGCAAGCAAGAAGUGAAAUCUGGGGGCUUAACCCCCAAACUGCUUUUGGAACUGCGGGUCUUGAGUGAUGGAGAGGCAGGCGGAAUUCCCAGUGUAGCGGUGAAAUGCGUAGAUAUUGGGAGGAACACCAGUGGCGAAGGCGGCCUGCUGGACAGUAACUGACGCUGAGGCGCGAAAGCGUGGGGAGCAAACAGGAUUAGAUACCCGGGUAGUC
rnacentral:rRNA from 1 species